AUUGAACGCUGGCGGCAUGCCUUACACAUGCAAGUCGAACGGUAACAGGUUAAGCUGACGAGUGGCGAACGGGUGAGUAAUGUAUCGGAACGUGCCCAGUCGUGGGGGAUAACUGCUCGAAAGAGCAGCUAAUACCGCAUACGACCUGAGGGUGAAAGCGGGGGAUCGCAAGACCUCGCGCGAUUGGAGCGGCCGAUAUCAGAUUAGGUGGUUGGUGGGGUAAAGGCCUACCAAGCCUACGAUCUGUAGCUGGUCUGAGAGGGCGACCAGCCACCCUGGGACUGAGACACGGCCCAGACUCCUACGGGAGGCAGCAGUGGGGAAUUUUGGAAAAUGGACGCAAGUCUGAUCCAGCCAUGCCGCGUGCGGGAAGAAGGCCUUCGGGUUGUAAACCGCGUUUGUCAGGGAAGAAAAGGUUCUGGUUAAUACCUGGGACUCAUGACGGUACCUAAAGAAUAAGCACCGGCUAACUACGUGCCAGCCGCCGCCGUAAAAC
rnacentral:rRNA from 1 species